rnacentral:rRNA from 1 species
AACGAACGCUGGCGGCAUGCCUAACACAUGCAAGUCGAACGAGACCUUCGGGUCUAGUGGCGCACGGGUGCGUAACGCGUGGGAAUCUGCCCCUCGGUUGGGAAUAACUGAGAGAAAUUUCAGCUAAUACCUUAUAAUGUCUUCGGACCAAAGAUUUAUCGCCGAGGGAUGAGCCCGCGUAGGAUUAGGUAGUUGGUGGGGUAAUGGCCUACCAAGCCGACGAUCCUUAGCUGGUCUGAGAGGAUGAUCAGCCACACUGGGACUGAGACACGGCCCAGACUCCUACGGGAGGGAGGAGGGGGGAAUUUUGGACAAGGGGCGAAAGCCUGAUCCAGAAAUGCCGGGGGGGGUAUGAAGGCCUUGGGGUUGAAAAGCUCUUUUACCCGGGAUGAUAAUGACGGUCCCGGGAAAAAAAGCCCCGGCUAACCCCGG